rnacentral:rRNA from 1 species
UACGUAGGGGGCGAGCGUUAAUCGGAAUUACUGGGCGUAAAGCGUGCGCAGGCGGCGAUUCAAGUCAGAGGUGAAAGCGCCGGGCUUAACCUGGGAAUGGCCGUUGAAACUGGAUUGCUGGAGUGCGGCAGAGGGAGGGGGAAUUCCCCGUGUAGCGGUGAAAUGCGUAGAUAUGGGGAAGAACACCGGUGGCGAAGGCGGCCGUCUGGGCCAACACUGACGCUCAUGUGCGAAAGCGUGGGGAGCAAACAGG